GCUGAUAUGGCUCAAUGGUAGAGCAGCUGAUUUGUAAUCAGCAUGUUGUAGGUUCGAAUCCUGCUAUCAGCUCCA
rnacentral:tRNA from 1 species